GGGUUGUGAGGUUAAGCGACUAAGCGUACACGGUGGAUGCCUAGGCAGUCAGAGGCGAUGAAGGGCGUGCUAAUCUGCGAAAAGCGUCGGUAAGCUGAUAUGAAGCGUAAUAACCGACGAUACCCGAAUGGGGAAACCCAGUGCAAUUCGUUGCACUAUUGCAUGGUGAAUACAUAGCCAUGCAAGGCGAACCGGGGGAACUGAAACAUCUAAGUACCCCGAGGAAAAGAAAUCAACCGAGAUUCCCCCAGUAGCGGCGAGCGAACGGGGAAGAGCCCAGAGUCUGAAUCAGUUGGUGUGUUAGUGGAAGCGUCUGGAAAGUCGCACGGUACAGGGUGAUAGUCCCGUACACAAAAACACACUGGCUGUGAACUCGAUGAGUAGGGCGGGACACGUGACAUCCUGUCUGAAUAUGGGGGGACCAUCCUCCAAGGCUAAAUACUCCUGACUGACCGAUAGUGAACCAGUACCGUGAGGGAAAGGCGAAAAGAACCCCGGCGAGGGGAGUGAAAUAGAACCUGAAACCGUGUACGUACAAGCAGUGGGAGCACCUUCGUGGUGUGACUGCGUACCUUUUGUAUAAUGGGUCAGCGACUUAUAUUUUGUAGCAAGGUUAACCGAAUAGGGGAGCCGUAGGGAAACCGAGUCUUAACUGGGCGUCUAGUUGCAAGGUAUAGACCCGAAACCCGGUGAUCUAGCCAUGGGCAGGUUGAAGGUUGGGUAACACUAACUGGAGGACCGAACCGACUAAUGUUGAAAAAUUAGCGGAUGACUUGUGGCUGGGGGUGAAAGGCCAAUCAAACCGGGAGAUAGCUGGUUCUCCCCGAAAGCUAUUUAGGUAGCGCCUCGUGAACUCAUCUUCGGGGGUAGAGCACUGUUUCGGCUAGGGGUCCAUCCCGGAUUACCAAACCGAUGCAAACUCCGAAUACCGAAGAAUGUUAUCACGGGAGACACACGGCGGGUGCUAACGUCCGUCGUGAAGAGGGAAACAACCCAGACCGCCAGCUAAGGUCCCAAAGUCAUGGUUAAGUGGGAAACGAUGUGGGAAGGCAUAGACAGCCAGGAUGUUGGCUUAGAAGCAGCCAUCAUUUAAAGAAAGCGUAAUAGCUCACUGGUCGAGUCGGCCUGCGCGGAAGAUGUAACGGGGCUAAACCAUGCACCGAAGCUGCGGCAGCGACGCUUAGGCGUUGUUGGGUAGGGGAGCGUUCUGUAAGCCGUUGAAGGUGGCCUGUGAGGGCUGCUGGAGGUAUCAGAAGUGCGAAUGCUGACAUAAGUAACGAUAAUGCGGGUGAAAAACCCGCACGCCGGAAGACCAAGGGUUCCUGUCCAACGUUAAUCGGGGCAGGGUGAGUCGACCCCUAAGGCGAGGCUGAAAAGCGUAGUCGAUGGGAAACAGGUUAAUAUUCCUGUACUGGGUGUGACUGCGAAGGGGGGACGGAGAAGGCUAGGCUAGCCGGGCGACGGUUGUCCCGGUUUAAGCAUGUAGGCGGAGCGACUUGGUAAAUCCGGUUGCUUAUCAACGCUGAGGUGUGAUGACGAGCCACUACGGUGGUGAAGUAGUUGAUGCCAAGCUUCCAGGAAAAGCCUCUAAGCAUCAGGUGACAUUCAAUCGUACCCCAAACCGACACAGGUGGUCAGGUAGAGAAUACUCAGGCGCUUGAGAGAACUCGGGUGAAGGAACUAGGCAAAAUGGUGCCGUAACUUCGGGAGAAGGCACGCUGGCAUUAGGUAAAGAGACUUGCUCUCGGCGCCGAAGCCAGUCGCAGAUACCAGCUGGCUGCAACUGUUUAAUAAAAACACAGCACUGUGCAAACACGAAAGUGGACGUAUACGGUGUGACGCCUGCCCGGUGCUGGAAGGUUAAUUGAUGGGGUCAGCCGCAAGGCGAAGCUCUUGAUCGAAG
rnacentral:rRNA from 1 species